UUGAACGCUGGCGGCAGGCCUAACACAUGCAAGUCGAACGGUAACAGGAAGAAGCUUGCUUCUUUGCUGACGAGUGGCGGACGGGUGAGUAAUGUCUGGGAAACUGCCUGAUGGAGGGGGAUAACUACUGGAAACGGUAGCUAAUACCGCAUAACGUCGCAAGACCAAAGAGGGGGACCUUCGGGCCUCUUGCCAUCGGAUGUGCCCAGAUGGGAUUAGCUAGUAGGUGGGGUAACGGCUCACCUAGGCGACGAUCCCUAGCUGGUCUGAGAGGAUGACCAGCCACACUGGAACUGAGACACGGUCCAGACUCCUACGGGAGGCAGCAGUGGGGAAUAUUGCACAAUGGGCGCAAGCCUGAUGCAGCCAUGCCGCGUGUAUGAAGAAGGCCUUCGGGUUGUAAAGUACUUUCAGCGGGGAGGAAGGGAGUAAAGUUAAUACCUUUGCUCAUUGACGUUACCCGCAGAAGAAGCACCGGCUAACUCCGUGCCAGCAGCCGCGGUAAUACGGAGGGUGCAAGCGUUAAUCGGAAUUACUGGGCGUAAAGCGCACGCAGGCGGUUUGUUAAGUCAGAUGUGAAAUCCCCGGGCUCAACCUGGGAACUGCAUCUGAUACUGGCAAGCUUGAGUCUCGUAGAGGGGGGUAGAAUUCCAGGUGUAGCGGUGAAAUGCGUAGAGAUCUGGAGGAAUACCGGUGGCGAAGGCGGCCCCCUGGACGAAGACUGACGCUCAGGUGCGAAAGCG
rnacentral:rRNA from 1 species